UCCCUCUCAGGAUGGCAUCUGGAGAGUUUUCAAUACUCUCCCAGUCUCAGCAACAGGAGGGAGAGUCAAGCAGAGGCCUACCCAUUCCAUUCCCAGCAUGGCCAGUGGCUAGCGAGAGGCAGGCAAUCUGCUACAAGU